UACGUAGGGUGGCAAGCGUUGUCCGGAAUUUAUUGGGCGUAAAGAGCUCGUAGGCGGUCUGUCGCGUCUGCUGUGAAAACUCAGGGCUUAACCCUGAGCUUGCAGUGGGUACGGGCAGACUAGAGUGCGGUAGGGGAGACUGGAAUUCCUGGUGUAGCGGUGAAAUGCGUAGAUAUCAGGAAGAACACCAAUGGCGAAAGCAGCUUUCUGGGACGGUACUGACGCUGGAGACGCGAAAGCGUGGGGAGCGAACAGG
rnacentral:rRNA from 1 species